rnacentral:rRNA from 1 species
UACGGAGGAUGCAAGCGUUAUCCGGAUUCACUGGGUUUAAAGGGUGCGUAGGCGGAAUGAUAAGUCAGUGGUGAAAUCCUACAGCUUAACUGUAGAACUGCCAUUGAUACUGUCAAUCUAGAGUUUGGUUGAAGUGGCUGGAAUGUGUCAUGUAGCGGUGAAAUGCUUAGAUAUGACACAGAACACCGAUUGCGAAGGCAGGUCACUAAGCCAAUACUGACGCUGAGGCACGAAAGCGUGGGGAGCAAACAGG